CGUUAGCUCAGUUGGUAGAGCAACUGACUUUUAAUCAGUGGGUCGCAGGUUCGAACCCUGCAC
rnacentral:tRNA from 1 species